CAGAGAUGCCGGAGUGCCGCUUUUAGCGGAAAGAUAAAACAGGUGGUGCAUGGUUGUCGUCAGCUCGUGUCGUGAGAUGUUGGGUUAAGUCCCGCAACGAGCGCAACCCUUGAUAACAGUUGCCAGCAAGUAAGGUUGGGCACUCUGUUGUGACUGCCGUAGAUAAUACGGAGGAAGGUGGGGAUGACGUCAAAUCAUCAUGCCCUUUAUGACCUGGGCUACACACGUGCUACAAUGGGGUGGAACAACGGGAAGCAAACCAGCGAUGGCAAGCGGAACCCUAAAAACACCUCUCAGUUCAGAUUGCAGGCUGCAACCCGCCUGCAUGAAGUCGGAAUUGCUAGUAAUCGCGGAUCAGCAUGCCGCGGUGAAUACGUUCCCGGGCCUUGUACACACCGCCCGUCACACCACGAAAGUUGACAACACCCGAAGUCGGUGGGGUAACCUGCAAGGGAGCCAGCCGCCGAAGGUGGGGCCAGUAAUUGGGGUGAAGUCGUAACAAGGUAACCAAUC
rnacentral:rRNA from 1 species